CAGUAACACUUAUGUCUCUUUACAAAUUUAACCCCACCUUAGAGGAAGAGCAGAGCUCUUCACAUGCUUCCCUUUCUGUAUUCUUCAACCACUUUAUUCAAGCUUUAUCUUCCUCUAAUUAAUGGAGUUUCAAUUCUUCAUCCCAUUCCAGAAAAAUCAUAACAUCCCCAUUUCCAUCCCCAUUUUCGUUCGGUGUUCCUCUCUCCUAUUUGCUUUUGGUUCUUUUUAAUUCAAAUAGCUAAAUGUUGAAAAAUACCAAGUUAAUUCCAAGAACCUGGACAUUUCAAUUUCCCCUUCUGUAAAAGAAAUUGACCUUGGAUCAUAAAAGGGGAAAGAGAAGAGAUUGAACUUGGAUCAUAAAAGAGGAAAGAGAUAACGAAGAAGAAGCAUGGGUUUUGUUGACGAAGAAGAGGUGUGGGUUUUGUUGAUCUAAGCUGGGUUUACUCACUCGAACUUCAUAUCACUUCAAGCAACAAUCUCAGUUUCAAUUACGGAAAUGUCGAGGGUCUCUUUGCACUAUAAAGCUUAAUUAGCCAAACCAUAGAAAGAAGGCCAACAAGCACAACAUCCCUGUCUGUGAGGAAAAAGUUACAGAGAAAAAACUUUAUUAGGUGAAGAGAAGGGUGAACCAGUUGCAGGUUUCAGUUGUGGCAUUAGCUCAAAGGAAGUUAGAAAUAAAGAAAUUAAAUGAAAAGUUAAGCUCCUUGGAAGACCAGCCGAAGAAAUACCAGGAAGAGGCCCAUGAGGUUUGCGGAAUUGUUAAAUCUAAGAAAAUUGAAAUCGAAAACAUGACUGAAAAAUCAGGCGUGAAAAGCUUACUUCUUUUGAAGGACAACUAACAGUACACCAAGAAGAAGCUCGUGAAGCCUCUGGGAUCGCUGAAUCAAGAAAAUCUGACAUUGAACAGUUGCAGUUGUGGCAUUAGCUCAAAGGGAGUUGGAAAUCAAGGAGUUAAAUGACAAGUUAAGCUCCCUUGAAGACCAGCUAAAGAAAUACCAGGAAGAGACCCUUGAGGUGUCGGGGAUCGCUGAAUUUCGUAAACUUGAAUUUGAAAAUAUGCUUCUGAAAUUACAAGAGAAGACGAAAAUGGUUGAUAAACUGCAUCUUGAAGCAGGUGAAGUUGAGACACGUAACGGAGCCUUGGCUGUGGCAAAUAUAAAACUCAUUCAGGAUCUAGCUUUGGCUGAGACCGAAUAAAGUGAUCUUCAAGCUAAAUUGUCACAUGCUCUGGAUGAGAAGGAUGCCAUUGCUGCAAAAUGUUUCUUGUCAGAGAAGGCAGUUGAGGAGUUACGCCAGGAGCUAACUUCUGAAAAGGAAAAGCUCCAGUCUGAGAUAUCCGCAGCCAGCUUCACAAAACAAUAAAGAACUUCAAGCAAUUGUGGUCAAAUUAGAAGAGCAACUAAAAGAAUAUAGAGGAAAAGAAGAUGCUUCAAUGAUUGAGAUUGAAAAUCUUAACGUUGAAACUUAUGAGAAAUCUUCCCUGCAAGCAAGGUUGAAGGAACUUGAAGAGAAAUGUCUGACAACUGAGGCUCAAUAGAAAUAAGAGGUUAAAAAUGUACAUACAUCUGCUACAGCGAGAGAGGUUGAUUUGACUUCUCAGUUGGAAAAUCAUAUGCAAAAACUCCACGAUCGUGAUUCGUUGUAGGAAAGGGUUGUGAAACUUGAAGAAGAGCUGCAGCUUGUAGAGACCACCGUAACCAAGCUGAUUAGUUAAACGAUUUUGCUUUAUGCCUUCUUUUAUACAAAAUGCUCAUGACAAUAGUUUCAGACAUAUGUCUUCUUGGGAAUAAUUUGUUGCCAAUCUUCGUAAUCUCCAAACACUUAUCAAAUUCACUGAAAAAUGUUAAUCAUCUGGAUUGCUGGUCUAACAGAAAAAGGAGAGUUCCGCAAAGAUAUCUGAAUUGGAAGUUGCCAAGAGUCAUACGGCUGAAGAGCUUGACGCCAAAAACAAAAAAAUCAUGUUUCUCGGAAAGAAAAUUGAGGAAGUUAGCUGUGUUGAAGAAAAUAUAUCGUAUUGUGAAACCUUGGUAUACUCACCUUGCUUUGGCUGGCACUAUCGGAGGAAAAUGGUGGAUGUGGAUUAUGAAGUAUGAACUAUGGAAGGAUAACAUCGAGGUGCAUCUUGAAGCUGCACCUUACAGAAAGUAUGGAUGUCCACUUUAAGAUGAUCUAUGCAAAAUAUUUACAAAGCCCAUAGCUACUGGAAAAUAUGCUUUCUCACCUGAGAUGAUUACUCUAGUCACUAGCUCUACUUCACGGAAAAAAAAAGGCUUAAGCUUGUACCUAUUAUAGCAGUUGGAUAUCAUGUAACAAACUACCUUAGAGUGGUUUGAUUUAAGGAAUAUAGGCCCAAUAAUUUUGUAAACACUAACAAACUACCUUUGGUUUGAUUCAGGGAAUGUUAAUCCCUACUUUUGUAAACUUUAUGUUAUAACUAAGUGUUUGUGCAUAGUAAAUAAGUUCUUACUCAAUA